GACGAACGCUGGCGGCGUGCUUAACACAUGCAAGUCGAACGGAAAGGCCCUGCUUUUGUGGGGUGCUCGAGUGGCGAACGGGUGAGUAACGCGUGAGUAACCUGCCCUUGACUUUGGGAUAACUUCAGGAAACUUGGGCUAAUACCGGAUAGGAUCUCCUGCUGCAUGGUGGGGGUUGGAAAGUUUCGGCGGUUGGGGAUGGACUCGAGGCUUAUCAGCUUGUUGGUGGGGUAGUGGCUUACCAAGGCUUUGACGGGUAGCCGGCCUGGGAGGGUGACCGGCCACAUUGGGACUGAGAUACGGACCAGACUCCUACGGGAGGCAGCAGUGGGGAAUAUUGCACAAUGGGCGGAAGCCUGAUGCAGCAACGCCGCGUGCGGGAUGACGGCCUUCGGGUUGUAAACCGCUUUCGCCUGUGACGAAGCGUGAGUGACGGUAAUGGGUAAAGAAGCACCGGCUAACUACGUG
rnacentral:rRNA from 1 species